UACGUAGGGUGCAGGCGUUAAUCGGAAUUACUGGGCGUAAAGCGUGCGCAGGCGGUUUGCUAAGACAGGUGUGAAAUCCCCGGGCUUAACCUGGGAACUGCGCUUGUAACUGGCAAGCUUGAGUGUGGCAGAGGGGGGUGGAAUUCCACGUGCAGCAGUGAAAUGCGUAGAGAUGUGGAGGAACACCGAUGGCGAAGGCAGCCCCCUGGGCUAACACUGACGCUCAUGCACGAAAGCGUGGGGAGCAAACAGG
rnacentral:rRNA from 1 species